UCAAUCUGAAACUGCACGUCAACGGACUGUGAGGCGCAACAGCUGUACGGUUUACAUUUACAUUCAGUUGUCAUGUUUGUAGUAAACAUUCGCAGACAUGGCCUAUGUCAACGUUGCUGAAUGGAAACCAGAUCAAGUCACAGAAUGGCUUAAAGGUCUAGAUAGCUCAAUUUUGGUCUACUUGCAUCUGUUUAUAAGCAAUGAAGUUAAUGGCCAGCAAUUAUUGAACGUAAGGUCAGAAGACCUGGACAAUCUUGGAAUCAAGCGACUUGGACAUCAGGAACUAAUUUUAGAAGCAGUAGAGCACCUCAGAAAUUUUCACUAUGAAUUGGACCGAGAAAACCUCCAGCUACUGGCUCUUAGGUUGUCUUGCCAAGCCCACAGUUUGCAUAAUGAACUACUUAGACAAACUGAUUCUCAACCAGUUAGCACUCAAACUCUAGCUGAUGUCGCUAGUGUUGUCAGAGCUGUGAAGCCAUUAGUUUGCUGGUUGGACAGAUCACCCUUUACUGGUCAGUUAGAGUAUUCUGAUAGGAAAAGAGAUCUGCUAAAGUACAGCCUUGAAAUAGCCACCUGUGCUCAAAGGGAUCGUUUUGCUGAAAGACCAGUAGAAGAGAUCCGCUCAAGUUGUGCCAAAUUAUCUGCUAUUGCAGAUGGAAUAAUUCAAGAUAUUGCGGACCCAUUGAUUCUUCAACCAGCAUCACUUGAUCUUGCAACUUUACGAAAAAGGGGUGGAGAUGAUUUGGGAUUUUACAUUCUGCCAUCUUUUUGUGGAGUUCAUCAAAUUGGUGAUAUCAAAUUUGGUUCACCUGCCCACCAAUGUGGAAAAGUUGAAGAGGGAGAUGAAGUAGUGCAAGUGAACUAUCAGACAAUUGUGGGAUGGCAGAGGAAGAAAGUAAUGGCCUUGUUUGAAGAAUCUGCCACUGAUGUGUUUUUGACCCUCAAGAAGAGACCAAGACAUACAAAAGUUUAUGGGCAAAUAUACAUGAAGCCAUACAGACUGCCAAGUAAAAAAAGGGCACCAGCUUACACUCGCUGGCAUGACAAUCUACCUUCACCUAGACCUGAGCUACUCACCAUUCCAGAUUUUGAUAUUCAAGUGCCAAGAGCCCUCCCCAUGACACCUCCUUCAAAACAUGUUACUUUGGAACCUCUGAACAGUACAAUUGUAUCUACAAGCUCAGAGUCUGAGGAUGCCGGGUCAGGAUGUGACGAAGCCUCCCUUGAUUAUGAGCUGGAGGGACACACGUCACCCACUAGCAUGCGUCUGUACCUGCCUAAGCCAAGAGUGCCAGUUCAACGCCGGGCAACCAUUACUGGUGCAAGCCCCACCUCUCAUCUUCCUCCAGUUGAUUUAGAGAAGUUCUGGAGAGAGUUAAAAUUAGAGAAGAAGUGGAAGUUUAAUGGGAAAACCCCUGAGUCCCACAACUCAAACCCUGAGUGUGGGCUUCUCAGAAAUAAGUCCCCUUGUGAACAUAAUGAACGUCCAUCUACAUGUUUGGGCUUUGAGAAAUCUUCCAGCAAAGAAUAUAUCAAAAGAGUUGAUUAUAUAAUUAAAUCAGACAAAGACUCAAAGGAUCACGAGGAGUUGACCAAAGGUCAAGAGAAAAGUUCAGAACAAAAAACAGAUAUUGUUACUCUUAAAGAAAAUGAAGAUAUGAUCAAAUCUUCAAAUUUCAACAAAAAUCGUAGUGAAAAACGUUUUAUCACCAGGUUGGAGCUAAAAGUUGAUCCUCGGGACUCACGCAUAAGAGUUGCAGAUGUUACAAACGAAAAUGUGGAACUCAAAAGCAUUCCAGGAGAUGAAACUUCUGUGCAGCCGGACAGUCCACAUACUAAUCAAAGUAGUCCGUUUGAAAAGACAAGAAAGGUUUCCACUGAGAGCCAAAUUGGAGAGUUACCUGUCCACAGAGAAAGAGGCAGAUUGGACAAGAGUUUCAGUACUCCAGCAUAUGACUUGCUGGGGCUUGAUGGGCUAGAAAUAAAUGCCUCCCGUCAGCAGAAAUCUCCAGCUGUGAAAGUUGACACAGAGCUUGCUGAUAAGUCUGGCUUGUCAGAUUUCAGCUCGCCAAAUGAUUCUGUUUUUGAUUACGGUACUAUGCCUGAUGUGGCAUCAUCCACUACUCCCAGAAUGAAGCAAGCUCAGGACUAUUCUACUCAUUCAUUUUUCAAGUUCCCUCCUGCUCAUACAUCCUCCAGGCAUGCCUCCACAGACCAAGAAUUUGACAAGAAUAAUGAAGAUAUAAAAUCAAGUGACAACUGUGAUAUGAAUUUGAAUCCUGUUUUACAUGGUAGGGUGGUUGAAACUAUUAACCGCCAUUUACUUGACUCAAAUUGUGGGAAAGAUGGUGAUGAAGAUUGUGAUGACCAUCGUGAUAACAAUAGAACUAAUCCUCCUUCAGGAUUUACAAGAACUGUCACUAGUAUUGUUCUGAAUAGUCCUGAUCUCAUAUCAGAUAUCAGCACCCAUAGGCUCUACCCAAAACCAGAUGACUAUGAUAAUGGAAAUCAUUUUCAUCUGCAAAUAUCUCCUAAACUUGAAUCAUUUAGGUUUGAUGGUAACAAAAACAGUUAUGAUAUUCAUCCUGCUGCACCAAAAACUAGUGACUCAAAAGUUAACCCUGAGAUGGUUAAUCGUGCUGAAAUUGCAUCACCAAAAUUGAUAGUUGGUGAUGUCAAGAUGCCUGUCUCGCUGCCAUUGCCUCCAGCACGCCAUCCAGAUCCACCAUGUCCUCCAACCAAGCAGCCCAAGAUCCCUUUCAAGAUAUCAGUGAAUCCUCCAGAACCACCACCUCGUCCAACUCCUCCUAAUAGAUCACCUUCAAUACCUCUAGACCAGCCGAAGUCUUUGCUUCGUGCUAAAAUAGGUAGCAAAACUACAAGCCAGCAGAAAGCUGUGGUAGGAAGCCCAAAAGUGUCGCGCAAAAAGAACCCAUUCCUCGCCAGAAGGCGCUCAGUUGGGGUGAAAGAAUUGGGAGUAGCAGAUUAUCAAGGCUGGCUUUAUCGACGAACUCGCAUUGGGGAUAGUGGAGUUCAAUGGAUAAAGGGCUGGUUUAUUCUAAAGAGCACGGCCUUUUAUGGUUUCAAAUCAAGAGAGGCUCACAAAGCAGAUUAUUUCAUAUCACUCCCUGGUUUUACAAUAUCUCCUGCAGAAGAGGUCAAAUCAAAAAAAUUUGCUUUUAAAGUUUAUCACACUGGCACUGCAUUUUAUUUUGCUUCUGAGUCUGAUGAAGAGCUGGCUGCAUGGUUGGAUUGUUUAUCCAUGGCAGCUCUUUCAAUCGAUAUUCCAACUUCAAAGUCUUCUGCUUCUGAGGGUGCUGUUUUUAGUGAAACUGAGGAUGAAGGUGAUGAGAGUGAGAUUGCUGACUCUUGCUUUCCCAGUCCUAAAAUGAGGAAGUUCACUAACUUUCUUUCUGGACAUUCAAGUCAUACAUCCCACUCCAGUGGAUCUGCAGGAAGCCCCAAACCAGCUCGUUCUCAUCAAAAUCUUGCCUCCUCUAGCGAAUCUAAAACAUAUGAUAUACAGAAAAAGUUUGGUUCCCUUAAAAAACUUGGCUAUCGGAACAAAUGCCCUUAUCCAUUGUCAUCACAGUCAUCAAGUUCAGCUACAAGCCUCUCAAGCUCGGAGCAAUCGCAAGAUGCUCAACCUGCCUCUGCACCACAUAGCUUGGAUAGGAAAGUUCUGCGGUUUUUGUCCAGUGGCAAGAGUCAAAAUGUGCCUGUGCCCACAGCGCAAUUUAGAAGCUAUCGACGUGUUGUGGCAACAGAACCUUGUUCUACAUUUGCAAAACACACUGAUGGCAAUGCAAAUGCAAAAGGGGAUGAGUCAUUAUUGGAUACAUCAGGUGGCUCUCAUGCAGCCAGAAGUGUAGGCAGCUCAUCUGGGGACCAAGAUAUAAGGAGGAAUAACCGCAAUCUAGGCCCACGUGGAGAUGAUGUCGCUGGCUUCCUUACCCUGGAACAGUUCAUGCUUCAGCGACAAGAAGAGGAACGGCAACAAAAUCUUCACUCCAACUCCCCUCAGAACCAUGAUCGAGAUUCUGCAGCACCUGGUCAUCGUGAUACAAGCGAGGAUAACUUAUUAACUGAACAUAUCUUUGGAGUGGAAUAAUUCUGAGUCUGUGUCCUGUAGUCAUGUGUACUUGAUGAAGUAGCUUGUAAACUAAUUUUCCUGAGGCUAAAAUUUUUCUCUGACAAUAUGGUGGGAUUAAUGUGUCGGUCUUAUUCAGUUUGAUGUGACUAUCUCUGUUUUAGCACUGUUAAAAAUGACCACACUGUUUGCAAGCACAAUUUUUAUUAACACUUCUGCUUCAGCAUUGAAAAUAAAACAGCUUACACAGGUUAUACGGAGGACCCAGUUCUGUCUCGGCAUAAAUCGCUAGAGAAACGAAGAACUCCUCCUCCAGCUCCACCGUCGCUGUCUCCAUCGCCCCGCCCAAACACGAGGCCAAUUCCUGCUGUGAGG
rnacentral:misc_RNA from 1 species